UGCAAGUCGAGCGAACAGACAAGGAGCUUGCUCCUUUGACGUUAGCGGCGGACGGGUGAGUAACACGUGGGUAACCUACCUAUAAGACUGGGAUAACUUCGGGAAACCGGAGCUAAUACCGGAUAAUAUUUCGAACCGCAUGGUUCGAUAGUGAAAGAUGGUUUUGCUAUCACUUAUAGAUGGACCCGCGCCGUAUUAGCUAGUUGGUAAGGUAACGGCUUACCAAGGCGACGAUACGUAGCCGACCUGAGAGGGUGAUCGGCCACACUGGAACUGAGACACGGUCCAGACUCCUACGGGAGGCAGCAGUAGGGAAUCUUCCGCAAUGGGCGAAAGCCUGACGGAGCAACGCCGCGUGAGUGAUGAAGGUCUUCGGAUCGUAAAACUCUGUUAUUAGGGAAGAACAUACGUGUAAGUAACUAUGCACGUCUUGACGGUACCUAAUCAGAAAGCCACGGCUAACUACGUGCCAGCAGCCGCGGUAAUACGUAGGUGGCAAGCGUUAUCCGGAAUUAUUGGGCGUAAAGCGCGCGUAGGCGGUUUUUUAAGUCUGAUGUGAAAGCCCACGGCUCAACCGUGGAGGGUCAUUGGAAACUGUAAAACUUGAGUGCAGAAGAGGAAAGUGGAAUUCCAUGUGUAGCGGUGAAAUGCGCAGAGAUAUGGAGACACCAGUGGCGACGCGACUUUCUGGUCUGUACUGACGCUGAUGUGCGAAGCGUGGGGAUCAAACAGGAUUAGAUACCCUGGUAGUCCAC
rnacentral:rRNA from 1 species